AGAGCGAACGCUGGCGGCAGGCUUAACACAUGCAAGUCGAGCGGGCGUAGCAAUACGUCAGCGGCAGACGGGUGAGUAACGCGUGGGAACAUACCUUUUGGUUCGGAACAACACAGGGGAAACUUGUGCUAAUACCGGAUAAGCCCUUACGGGGAAAGAUUUAUCGCCGAAAGAUUGGCCCGCGUCUGAUUAGCUAGUUGGCGGGGUAAUGGCCCACAAGACGAUGAUCGGUAUCC
rnacentral:rRNA from 1 species